GCUGCCUGGGGGAGGGUGAGUUUCCCCAGGCUCAGAUUGUUCACUGGUAAUCUGAUCAUAAGGGGCUGGGCUGGUCUUCAGGCCAUCUGGUCCUACCCCUCAUCUUCCUGUUGACCAAGCUGAUUCUGCAAGAGGCAAGGUGGCUGCUGGAGGGUGUCCUCCCUUCCUCCAGGGGCAGAGCCAGGAUGACAGCCUGAGUGAUGGGACCUUGUGAUGGAGCCUACACUGAGCAGCAUGCAUUUUACUUGUAAUCAGAAAGAAAUCUAGCUAUUUCUCCGAAAGAAGUCCCUGUAUUGAGGAUUCAGAUCUAAGAAGAGUGAGCCCCCAGGAGGGUGGGCAGGUUGCACGCGGAGACCCGGAAACCCCGGACGUGAAAGCGGCCACUGGAAAAUUUCAUAUUUUGUAUGGGGUUCAUAUUCUCUUUCUACUGGAUGGCACUGAGUCAGUGGGAAUCAGCUGGAGAGAGAACAGCCCUUUGGUUGGAGAGAGCCAGUAAUUGGACCCAGACCUGGAGGAGACUUUGAGGCAAACGGGAGCUCAACUGCUUCGUGUGAGAAAGGAGAAGAGAAAGUAACAGACUAGGAAGAGGACAGGCAAGUGUGGCCCGGGGCUGGGUUUCAGGGGACAGAGAAAACGAAGAGAGGAUGGGAGGGAAGCCCAGGAACACGACAGUAGCCAGAGACCAGGGAACAGGUGGCUGAGGAAGGACUCCCCAAGCCCCUGGGGCAGGGCCAGCAGUGAGUUUUGCCAGCAGUGAGGUCAGCUGAUAAAUUUUAAAUGGGUUACUGAUCUAUGCCAUGAUACUCCUCUGCUGUCCCUACACCCCAAGGACAGACCGUGUGGGGCUGGGGACGCCGUGUCCCUGCUUGGACAUCAGGGCUGGGUGAGGACGGUGAUGUGCCAGGCAGUGGCCCGAGAGCCCAAGGGGAGGAGGGAAAGUGAGGAACAAGGGUGCCGGACGAGGGGUCAGGCAAGGACGACGUGACAGGUACCCAGAAAUGCUUGGAAGGAUCCCCAAGAGCCCUGAGCUGCUGCUGGCAGGGAGGUGCAAGGCAGCUGAAGAUUUUCACUUGGUUUUGAAGGGAAGGAUCUCCCCAGCCGGCUGGCCGACACUGGGACCCUUCGCCACAUUACGCAGGGCGUUGUAAUACCCUCUGGGGUGCUGGGCAGCAGCGGCUGAGAAGUUUGGUGGCAGUGCUGGCGGGGAAGGUGGGGAAGUGGAAC